AACUGAUAUCUUCUUUUUUUUUUGGAAUGGUUUUUUGUUGUUUCUUCUUCCUUCUCUAGGUGAUGCAUUCUUAAACACCGAUGGUCCAAUCCUAUUCUGGACAUUGGAUUGGGGUUUGUUUCAGGAGUCUAGAUACGACGACGACGACGUUUUUAUGAUAUUGUUAAUCUUCUUGAGAGUGUUGCGGAUGAUCGUAGGGGGACGUUGUUUGUUUCCAUGGCGUUUCUUCUGAUUUGACCGAGCUAAGUAGAGAUCGCGGAGAUGCUUUCAAGAAUCAAAACUGAUUCUAUUGGAUUGAUGGUGUUUGACCAAGUACAGGUUUAAGAACCAGCCAUGGCCUAACGUUGCAGCUCAUAGCGGAUUGCUGCUGAACUAUUAUCAUCUAACCGAAAGCAAGAUAUAGAUACUACACUGUGCUUUUUGGCUGUCUCAAGGAGUCUCCUCAUCUGAUCACAGCUGAUAUGGGACCGGACUGCCACAAGAACGGCCAAAGAGUGUAAACAUGGAGAAUGAAGAAUGAAGAAGAAUACUCAAGUCUGCUUUAUCUCAGAGAGAUGGAUUGAAAAUUGAAGAAGAAGAAGACUCAAGCAGACUGCAUAAGCAUACACAGACAUCUUCAGUGAUCCUAAUGAAAGUUAUAAGAAGACACUCUGAAUUCUGAGUUACUGUACGUGGGCUCCCAUCAUCUGCUCCAUGGCAACAUUUGAAGGAUCAUUUGCGGAGAGCUUGUGAUGUGUGCUUUGCUGAGGUCACUCGAGACAGGUUGUGAGUCGUCCUCCUUGUCGACUUCAAAUUCUCCCCAUACAUAAGUUGUUUGUGUCUGUGGCUUCCAAACCAGGACGAUGACUCAUAUUUUUUCAAGGACGUACGAAAGCAUCAAGGUUUAGCACUGAGAGGGAGGGGACUUAUCUUGUGGUGAUCGAUGUCUUGCAAACUCUAAAGGAGGUGUCUCUGAAGAUCUAGUCGGUGUCUCUUAGUUGAGCACUUUGAUCCCAAUUGAUCUUUAUCUAUCCUCGUCUUCUUAGCUUCUAUCAUGUUGUUAGUCGAAGCUUUUAAAAUGCCAAUGACAAGAGACUGCAUCUGCCCCCAGUGAUAGGCUUCCUGCUAAGUUCCAAUUCUGACACGACUAGUGAUCCUGGUGUUGUGAUGAUCCUGGUGUUGUGACUUGUAAGGAACUACUUACUUCUUUUGGUAGAGAGAAGAAGCUCAAUCGUCAGAUGAUGGAGAUAUAUUAGUAGGGAUGAUACUGAAUCGUGGAUCCAAAUGAUGGUAAAAUCCUCUUCACUGUACUACUGAAGUGGAACUCGGCGACAAGGCACCAGAAUUCAAAGCAAAACCCUUGAUUUUACUGAGCUAAAUGGAGUCCAGAAGCAGGUAUACUGAGCUAAAUUAUAUGACGGAAGCUUCCCCUAAUUCUCUGUUUUUGUGCAGAUGGGUGAUAUGCUAUGGGUUUGAAGAAUGAAGAAGAUUCAGGACAAAAAAGGUACUCGAAGAACACGGCCUGUGAAGGGACCUAAAUGGAGUCAAGAAGCAGGUAAACAUGGAGAGGUUGCAUGUCCCCCAAAAGGAUUAUCUUGGCAGCUUCUCUUCCAAAGCCCGGGGGAUCACAGGUGGUGGUUAUGCAACUUUUGCUUUUUCAGGGUCAUAUGCAGAGAGCUGGUGAUGUGUACUUUGCUGAGGUCACUCGAGACUGUGACGGAACUUAUGGUAUGGUUUCGUCGACUACACCAAUUAUGAUGACAUGAAGUAUGUGUGCAUUGCUGAGGUUACUCGAGACUGUGAUGGAACCCAUGGUGUCGUCGACUACACCAAUUAUGAUGACAUGAAGUAUGCUUUGUUUGCCCUGGUGUGCAGGCUCAUCCGUUGUACUCGCAUACAUCAUUUGUGUGAUUUCAUUCUCUUGUGCAGACCGUCCGUUUUAAGAAUGAGAAAUGCCCUAGACCAAUGUGCUAUACAAGGCCUACGGAAGUGGAAAGGAUGGCACUCCAAAUUGUGAUGUCCCCGGAUUUGAGAUUCUAUAGGAAGCUGGAUCAUAUGCGGAGAGCUGGUGAUAUGUGUGCUUUGCUGAGGCCACUCGAGACAGGUUGUGAGUCUUCCUCCUUGUCCACUUCAAAUUCUCCCCAUCGAUAAGUUCAUCGUUGAGUAAGAUAUGGGCGUAGUAUUGUUUUGGUGUCUUUGCAAGUAUGGAGUACGUUAUUUUCAUGGCGUAUCUUCAACUCUUAUCUCUGAUUCGACGAGAAAUCGAAAAAGAAAAGGUAGAAGAAAACCAAGUGCUCAAGGUGUUCUGUUUCAGUCAUCCAGACUGGUUCAUCCAUCACUAUUGUUUAAGCGUCAAUAAAGAACAAGCUACUCCUACUGAAGCAAGCACAAUUAAGCCCGUCUCAUGACAGUCCCAAGGACGCAGAGGUCAACAACAAAACCGCA